rnacentral:lncRNA from 1 species
CAGAUGAAUACUGUCAAUGUCACUUUUGGCAAAGUUCAUUGAACGUUGCAAAAAUAUUACACUUUUGCAACGUUCAACGCAUGUUGCUAAAACACCCUCUUGCAGCGUUCCUUGAACGUUGCGAAAAGUGACAUUUCGCAAUGUGUAUAUGAAUGUUGCGAAACAUCUCACCCAUUUCUUUAAAAUAUUAACCUAACUUAGAUAAUUCCCAUUUCACAACUUCCUUCCCAGUUCUUGCCCUCGGUUGCGGACGUGACCAUGUCUCUCUCUCAUGCUUCACCAUCUCCAAAUCUCCACUUCAAAGUCUACAUGUUGCUUCUUGAGUAGUUGAGUUAAUCCAUUGCUCUCAUCCACCUUCUACACAGUGCCAGUCGCCAACCCAAUUUCCUAUUCUUUUAGUAAACAUUAAUUCCUUAAUGUUUUCUUGGGCGCACCCCUUUAUAAUUGAAAGCUAGAAUUUUCUUGAUUUUGGGUCGAUUUUGGAGAGAAGGGAUAGUGGGUAUUGUGAAAAAUGAAGAAAUGGGUAUUGGCUGCGCCUUUUUACUUCGCAUUUUGCGUGAGGAUUGAAGCUUUCAAGUUUCAUAAAACCCAACAAACUGAGAGAAUCUCGGUUAAGAAUAAUUAUGUUAAUUUCAACUCGUUGAGAUUUCACCUAUUAGUUGUUGAUUUAGCUAAAAUCUUAUUGGUUUUAUCGGAUUUUUUGGAUUGAUUUGAGCAACCUGAGAGGUUGGUAUUAAUAACUUCUUUUCAAUUCUGGGGGUUGAAUUCGGAAUGCAGUUAGGGUUCUAUUAUGACGUGGGCAGUGUUGAGGAUUGGCUAUAUAUUAUAUAAUUUUUCAAUUUUUGUGAAGAAAUUGUGAAAGAUAAGUUAGUGAAUGAUAAUUCUUGUUAUAGUGAAGCAUUGAUGAAUGAUUCAAUUGCAUUGGUUAUUGACGUUUUGAUUCAAUAGAGUCACUAAUGAAGGUUUGUUCAGUUAGGAUGCAUUUUCGAACAAGACUGAGAAUUAUUUAUCAAUUUUAUUUGAAUGAAUCCUUUUUUUGGGGAUUUCAAUAUGAAAAUUCCUAGUUAAGUAUGGUAGACUGUUCAUUAAUUUUCCUUGGUUCUUACUUUAACAUUUUUAUUUUCUGAAUAAUCGAGAUUCUGCAAUUUUUUUGGGGUGAAAUUUAAUUUAUUUGUUUUAGACUCUGGGUUUUGGUUUUUACGUUUUUCUGUUUCAGAUGCUGAGUGGGUGGGGUUUGCUAUUUCGUAAGCUCUACACAUUUUUAGCUGAGUUUGAGUUUUCUACUUUCUUCAGGUUCUGGGUUUUGUAUUGAAAUUGUUAUUAGCAGAGGAUUUGACAGAUCUGUUGAAGACUCAUUUUUUAGCCUAUUUUCUGGGUUUUUUCGAGACAUAGGUUCUGGGUUUUAGCCUUCCAAAAAAAGAUGUUCCGUCAAUAGAUCUGUUUAGUGUAGAAUUUGAGCCUUGUGGAAAUAUAUUGUAAGACAAUCCCUUAGGCAGCAUCUAUAUAUAGAGAGAUGAAUAAAAGGAAACAAAAAGAAUAUGUUGCACAUCCAAUGUCUCAUCACCAUUGGAAACUCUAAUAUUAUGGCUUAACAUUUCGAUUUAUUUCUUAAUUGUAUCUUUUUGGAUAGAAAUAAGUGAAAGUUAUUAUUGGCAAUGGCAAACAAUAUUUUUAGAAAUAAGGAAAAGUCUCUAACCAAUUUCAUUUCACAAGAAAAAAGGGGAAAAAAAGAAAUAAGUAAGAAGUAAAGAGUAUAGAUGAAUUGACUGGAAUGAUAAUUAGAUUGUUUAUUGGAUUAUGCUAUUUGUUUUCCCUCUAUUGGGGAAGCCAAGGCUUUGUAAGUUUCUGGAAAUAGAAUAAAUAAAUUUGAAUUUAAGUCUCUUAGUCAAGAUGCAGUGCCUCUGAUUAUGAAAUAUGACGAUUUUCCAGUUUCAACAUUGGUACUGUAUAACUUUUUAUUGGUUUUUCGAUUUUUUUGUAUUGGUGGCUAUUCAUCAGUAUUUUAAGAGCAAAAAAUUUAUGGAGUUUAUCUAUGUGAUUCUAGAAGGGCUAAGAAAGUUUAUUUAUUUAUUACUUUUUUAAUGCAUUUUUCAGAUUCAAGGUUUACACAACGAACUUCCGACAUGCAAGCCUAUUCUUACACCUAAAUGGGUAAAUGUUCCAAGUUUUUUCAUACUUCUAUUGCCUUUCAGUUUCUGGUUAGUCAUCAACAUUUGGAAAAUUUAUUCGACUAGUAAUUAUUCCAUCUAAGCACUCUUUUCCAUCUAAGGUUCCUGUAUAGUCAAGACUUCUCCCAAAGAGUUUAAUUUGACCAAUUGCUAUUCCAAUGUUUUCUGUAAUGCCUUUUUAUGGUUACAUAAUCCCAGUAGCACACUUCUCUAGACUAACACAUUGUUAACAAAAUUAUAUUUAUUGAUGUUUUGAUGGCUGUACCAUCUUAGUUCGUUCCUUUUACUUUAUUUUGUAAUAUAAUAUUUUUUCAAGCUACGUAGAGAAUUUUUCAUCUAGCCAAGACAUGGUUUCUUGCUAUUAUAUCAAACGGUAAAGAGGGUUGCCUGUUUAUAUACCAAUUAUGGGGUUUUCCGAAAGGUUUAACGGAUUGAAGCUGCGAUAUAUGAAUGUAAAAUAUUCAGUUGGUAGAAAGUGUUGGAACAAUAUGGAUUGCAACAGACAAUGAGAUUGAGGUUGCUCCUUGGUCUCUAAUUAUUUUUAGAUGGAAGAUAUAUCUUCGUUGACAUUCUUUGAGGUCGUAAAUAUGCUUCUAGAAAUAAAUUCAAGUUUCUUACAUAAACAAAUGUUAGAUUUCGGAAUUAACUUGUGUAUAACAAUGGAUAUACUAGUGAUAUAAACCAAUGGAGGAUGACGAAGAUAUAUGAUGAUGAGAUGUUAGUGGCUAACAAGAUAACAAUGACAUUGACUUUUUUGUGCCUUUUUUGCAUAGAACUAGUUACCAAGUCAAAUUUAUUACUUUAUGCACGGUACCUUCUUGAUUUUUUCUACUUCUGUUUUUACAGUUUUUUUCCCCAUGAAAGUACAGGUAUUAAUAAGUUCUAGUUAUUUUUAAAAAUAUGAUUCUAUCUUUCAAGUAUAUAACUACUCGAUUUCUUUCUGUGUAUUGCCCUUUAUUAUGAUUCAGAAGAAAAUCAACUUGAUAUAUUCCUGGUUUGCAGAUUCGAAACAUGCUAUCAGAUUGCUUUGGCAAUAAAGGAUGGGGUGGAGGAUUUUUAGAAGGCAGGCACUACUUAAUUUGAAACCUGUUACCAUUACUUUUUUUUUUUUUUUUUUUUUUUUUUUUUGGGGGGGGGGGGGGGGGGGGGGAAUCUAUUGGUUUUUAUGCGCGUCAGAAUUUUGGAUCUAAAUUUUGUAUACAUAUUUUGUUACAUUUUGGAGUACAAUUAUUAAUGACUAUUGAA